UACGUAGGGUGCAAGCGUUAAUCGGAAUUACUGGGCGUAAAGCGUGCGCAGGCGGUUGUGCAAGACAGAUGUAAAAUCCCCCGGGCUCAACCUGGGAAUUGCAUUUGUGACUGCACGGCUAGAGUGUGUCAGAGGGGGGGUAGAAUUCCACGUGUAGCAGUGAAAUGCGUAGAGAUGUGGAGGAAUACCGAUGGCGAAGGCAGCCCCCUGGGAUAACACUGACGCUCAUGCACGAAAGCGUGGGGGAGCAAACAGG
rnacentral:rRNA from 1 species